GUGUCAGCAGCCGCGGUAAUACGUAGGGUGCGAGCGUUAAUCGGAAUUACUGGGCGUAAAGCGUGCGCAGGCGGUUCGUUGUGUCCGUCGUGAAAGCCCCGGGCUUAACCUGGGAACUGCGAUGGAAACUAGCGAGCUGGAGUGUGGCAGAGGGGGGUGGAAUUCCGCGUGUAGCAGUGAAAUGCGUAGAGAUGCGGAGGAACACCGAUGGCGAAGGCAGCCCCCUGGGCUAACACUGACGCUCAGGCACGAAAGCGUGGGGAGCAAACAGGAUUAGAUACCCUGGUAGUCC
rnacentral:rRNA from 1 species